rnacentral:rRNA from 1 species
AGAGGGUGCAAACGUUGCUCGGGAUUUACCGGGGCGUAAAGCGCGUGUAGGCGGACUCGCAAGUCGGUUGUGAAAUCCCUGGGGCUCAACCUAGGGAACUGCAUCCGAAACUGCUUGUCUUGAGUAAUGGAGAGGGUGGCGGAAUUCCCGGUGUAGAGGUGAAAUUCGUAGAUAUCGGGAGGAACAUCAGUGGCGAAGGCGGCCACCUGGACAUUUACUGACGCUGAGACGCGAAAGCGUGGGGAGCAAACAGGAUUAGAUACCCUGGAAGUCCACGCCGUAAACGAUGAGCACUAGGUGCAGCGGAUAUUGACCUCUGCUGUGCCGUAGCUAACGCGUUAAGUGCUCCGCCUGGGGAGUACGGCCGCAAGGCUA